rnacentral:sRNA from 1 species
GCCAGGCACAGUGGCCCACGCCUGUAAUCCCAGUGGCUUAGGAGGCUGAGACAGGAGGAUCCUGAGUUCAAAGUCAGCCUCAGCAAUGGCAAGGUGCUAAAGCAACUCAGUGAGACCCUGUCUCUA